UUGCCAUUUACUUCGGCAAAACGGCGAGAGGUGGCUUUAGAUCUGAAAUCCUCUCAGGGUUCAUCCAAGUCUCUGCAAUCCGACGCCAGCUACACUGCCACAGCUGAAGACGACAUCCAGGCCGUAGCGCGAGCACUCAUCAUCAUCGCUGCAAAGUUCCAUGAAGCUAUCUUGCAGCUGGCGGAGCUGAAAGCAUUCCUGGAUAGCUGCAUGGAAGAAAUUGAGGGCUGCAUCAUCACCUCCAGCUGCCCCAAAGCUCAAGGAUACAUGAAUCUGCAGAACAAGAUGUACGAGAAGGGUCAUGAACAAGCAGUAGCUGAAGAACUUAUGGGACCACUGUCGCCACCGUUUCCAAACAUGGACCUAGCUGGAAUGAAUGGCCACCGAUCUGGGGCAAGAUCCCUACACUGGCUCCAUCCAAGCGCGGUAAAGGAAAAAAGGAUCGUAACCCCUGUCAGUGUCUCUAGUGGCAGCGGCAAGCAUAUUUGCGGUGACUCCACUGGAGAUGCUCUGAAUAGGUUGGCUGACCUAAGGGUGCAGUCCAAUGAGAGCAAAGAAAGAAGGGAGGAACAGAGGCAAGCCAAAAGUGCUAGAGCUUGCAUGGAGCUACUGAAGGCUGAUGGCAUCACCAAGAAGGUUCCUCUGUACCACAUGGCACUGAAGCUGUUUCGUGAUGGGUAUUUGCAUGAGUUCUUCAUUGAUGAUUGCAUCACACCAAAGGAAGGUGGUGCUAAUGGAUUUGGAGGCUGGUUUGAUGGUGGAGGUGGAUUUGGGCCUAGAGGUUAUGAUGCUCAGUGCCAAGCUAUAUUUCGAAUGAGGGCUGAUCAGAUUCAUGCUUUGUUUGGGCUACUCACUAAUCGGUAUAACCUUCACGGAACAAUUGAGAUAUACCCUAUGGAAGCACUUGGAAUAUUCCUAUACAACAUGGCAGGUGGCUAUUCUAAUCGGUCGACAAAUAAUAGGAUGGUCCAUUCACGAUCUACUGUGUCAAAGUAUUUCCAUAGAGUGCUUAAUGUUGUCUAUGCAAUUACAAUUGACAUAAAUAAGCAUGUAGAUCCUAACUUUGCUAGAGUGGAUAACCGUGUCAUGCAAGAUGAGGCCUUCCAGCCAUUUGCUAGUGCGGCAGGUUCAGUGGAUGGGACACAUUCCUGUUAUUGUGGCAUUUGA
rnacentral:lncRNA from 1 species